UAUGUUGUUCUAUUAUUAUUUUUAUUGUUAUUAUUAUAAAAAUUAAUUUAUUAUCUUUUAUUGCGAAUCAAGUUAUUGAUGAUCGAGAAGACAAUGGAAUAAUUGUAAUGUAAACGUUGAACUUUUUAUUUUUCACGACGAUAGUCAUGUGAAUAUAUCGCUACAGUCCGAUCCAAAUAAUCAAGCUUUUGUAACAUUAAUUAUAAUAAAAAGUAACGGUGAUGCCAAUCGCGUAAUUGUAUCACACAACUGUAAUUCGGAUACGAAGCGUUAAAUGGUCACGGGUAGAUGAAAGAUUUGUGUGUAUCGUAUAAGUGGGAUAUGUAAGUACGCCAAAAAUCUUUACAAAUUCGUAUUUUAGUUCCAUUUUUUACCUUCCUCGCGUGAUUAUGUCGCUAAUGUAACAGCAUUGGGAACGUAUAAUGUUGUUUGUGCAAAACAGGCACAUAUGGAUGAUUUUUCUCUUAUUCGAGGGAAGUGUAUAUAUAGUAUUCUCGAGAAAUUUUCGAUUUUCGGUCUGUAUUGCCCGAAGCGUUUCACUAAUGUUUAAUAAUUUUUCAUAAACACUGUUUAAAUAAUAGAAAACGAGAAAAAAAUAUAAGAUAUAUUAUUGUGUUGGUGGAAAGGUUAUGCCAGUUUUUAAUUCUAAUUGAUAAAAUUAUUUCAAAUGGAUGAUUUUGAUAAACUUUUAUAAAGGUAAAUUUAUAUUCAUGAAAUAUUAUAAUUAUUAAUCUUGUUUAAAUCUUGUGUAAAAUUAGAAAUCAACAAUAUGUUAAUGUUAGAAUUAUUUACUUAUAAUGUAUAAUUGGUUGGCAAAAAUAUCUGAUUAUAUAGAUGCAUAUAAGCAUAUUCUAUGAAAUAUUGUAUAUUAGUAAUAAAAAAAUAUUAGAUAUCAAAUUUAGACAUACAUAUAUAUGUAUUUAUCAUUUCAUUUUACAAUGAUGAAUUGAUAAUUGUUUGAGAAAAAAUAGAAUGUUAAAACUUUGAAAUAUUUUUAGAACUAUUAUAUCUCAUAAUUCACUAUUAGAACUUAUAUAUCUCAAUUAUAUUAUGUAUAGAAAGUUUAAAAAUCAGUGUGUUACAUAUUCUGAAAAUGACUUAUAUAGUUAAAAAAUUUUUAGUUAUUAUUUAAACUUUCAAUUAAUUAAACUAUUAUUAAACUACUUGAUUUGUUGAUUUAAAAGUUAAAUAAUGAAGAAAUUCUGGAACUAUAUAAGUUAUUUUCAAAAAAUAUGAUUUAUUUUGAUUGACUUCUGAAUUUUUCAUAUAAAUUAUUAUAAUUAAAAAAAAAACUAUAAUGAAAUGAAUAAAAAUAAUGAAGAUAGAUAAUUAGAAGUUUAUCUAAACAUAUUUAAACAUAAUUCAUCAUUAAGAUUGAGUAAAAGCAUAUUUCUAUUAAUUAGUAAAAACAAAGAAUAUAAAAUUAUUUAUUUUAGCAAGUUUUAUAAUUCUUAAAUUGAAUAUAAAAUAUUUCUGUUUUCAAUUAUUGAUAUUAUAUGGAUUAAAAAAAAUAUAAAUACAAUUAUUAUUAUGUUUUCUAUAUAUUAUUCUAUAUAUUCUAUAUUUAUAUUAAAAUGUUUUCUAUACUUUUGAAAUAAAUAUUCAUGAAUGAAUGAAUAUUCAUAUCUGAUCUGAACAUAUUUGAAAUAAUUAUUUAAGUAGUAUUUAAUAAUAUAUUUAUAAUAAAUAAUAUAAAUGAUAUAAUUAUUUAGCAAUAUUUUAUAAUUUAUUAAUAUAAUUAUAUUUUCAAUUUUUAUUUAUACAAUUAUGUAAUAUUAUAACUUCUAUUUAUGAUUAUUUUUGAUAAUUAUUUUUUUUAUUUAAAUAAUGAUAUAAAAUAAAAAUAUCUUAAAUAAUUUAUUUUAUUAAUUAUUUCAAUUUCAAAUAAAAUUUCAAAGUGGAAAAUAAAUCUUACAAAUAAUUUGACAAAUUAUUUAAAGUUAGUAAUAAAAAUUAUUAAAAAAAAUUUACUAGUAGAUUACAAUAAUUUUAAUUAAUAUGAAUCAAUAUUAUUAUACCAAAUUGAUUUAUAUUUAUUAUAUUCACAAAAUCCAAGCAUCACUCUUCCACCAAUGUAACAUUUUUCUACGUGUGUGUAUAAGCCUGUUAUAUUUGCACAAUGCGAACAGUACCGAAAGGAGUCGGUGAACGGUGAUUCCUUGUAAUUUCGUCCAGCUCUACGAGCCAAAAGCACAAUAUCUUUCGGGACACAUCGAAAUCGCUUUUUGCCAGCUUUUUUCCUUCCUCUCUCAUUGAACCAAAUUCCAUUCGACAAAAUAUAGAGAUGUGACGCGAAGAAAAAAACGCGAAGUCAAUAAUCGGAAAGAAAACCGAAAGAGAGAAAAGAAAAAAUAAAAACGACGGACCCCGAAAAUCCUCAGGGAUUAAUGUUACGCGGCGUACAUUUCCUUUCCUAUUUUCGCGAUUUCUGUCGCGAUUGGAAUUUUUAAAGAUUUUUGAGUGUAUAUGCUCGUUAAGAAAAACACCGAGCGGAAAUUAAACUUGUGAUGUAAGCCAGAAAAUGAAUGUAUAAUAAAAUAUACGGCGAGAGAAAAAACGAGAACGAGAUUGCCAGGUCUCGAGGGAACGCUUCGAGAUAUAACAAGAUCGUGCGAUUCCCGUCAUUUAGAAGUUUCUCAUAGGAGUAGAUAUUACAGAUAGGUUGAGACAGAAUUUUUAGAUUCAAAUCCGAAAGUUCGUGAGGUCUUUCGAAAUUUUCGAAACUCAAACUCUUGAAACAUUUUUUUUUUUUUAUAAAUCAUAUCUAUUUCAUCGAGAAUAUAUUUUGAUUUUUGAAACUUUUUAAAACUUAAAAAACUUGAAACUUAAUUAAUCAAUAAUUAUACUAUGUUUGCAAAAAAAUUAAAUUUUCAAUAAAAUGAAUCUGAAAUCCAAAAUAUAAAUUUAAUUAAAUUAUUAUUGAUUAAGUAAAAAUAAAUUUAUAUGGUUAUGUAUAUAUUCAUAAGUUAUUGAAUACAAAUUAUUUAGGUUUCGAAAUUUUCGAUUCACGAAAACAAAAAAUUUUUGAAAACUCGAAAUUUUUUCGAAUAGUUUCGAGAUUUCAAAUGAUCCAAUCUUAGUAAUGUAUCUGAAUAGAUACGAUGUACUAUCAAAUGUGUCGAAAAUGCGUUUUUUUUAUUUCGUCCUUAGCUGGGACGAAUUAUAUGUAAUCCAUAGGAUAAUCAAUAACGAUAAAGCGCUCUAAUCAUUUAUAAUAAUAAUACGAUAGCAAUAGCAGUAGAUGUAUUAAUUCUUGCGGAUGGUUGGGUCAUUUCUGAUCCGGUUGACACAGUGAUCGGCGAUAACGUUAAUUAGAUAGGUUCGAUGUGGAUCAUUGUUGACGCAGCCAUCGCAUAGGUCGAGGAUAUAAUAAAAGACAAGCGCUAGACGAAAGAAAAUACCCGUUAAAACAAUUUUUAAUAGGAUAGUAGAUGCAAUCGAAAAAACCAUUUCUCACGGAGGGGAUAAUUAUAUUAUAUAUACGGGAAACGACGUCAUUGAUGAUACCCUCGUAUACGAUCUUUGCACAUCCGACAAGAAAAACUUGGAGCGACCUUAGAACGCGCAAUAUCGGUAAUUAGAGACGACGAAAACAUGUAAAAUGUCGAACAAAAUAAAAAAAACGAAAAAGAAAAAAAAGCAACCAACCGACAAAGGGAAAUCGUAAUAAUCACAAUAAUAAUGAUAACAAUAACAAUAAUAAUAAUAAUAAUAAUAAUAAUAUGAUAAUGAUAACGAUUAGACGAUAAUGAACGUUUACCUUAGUAUUAAUUCUAAUGCUAAUACUAUGAAUAAUGGUAACGAUAACGAUUACUAAUAAUUACUCUAUUAUUACUAACGGUAAAAAAAAAAUAGUAAUACUGAUAAAAAGAGUAAUAAUAAAAAUAAAAUGAAUAUAAUAAUAAUGAUAAUAAUAAUUAAUAAUAAUGUUGCUAUUAAUAAUAAUUAAUAAUAAUUAUAGUGAUAAUUUAAUAAACAAUAAUCGUGUCCAUUGCCUGUCGCGAGAGGAAAACGAUGCAUAAAAAUAAACUGGGUACCUACAAAGUGACGUGCCUUUGAGACUCUACGAAGUUCCGUCCGUGGGACUUCCGGUUCCGCGGAUGAGACCGUGUAUUGCGCGUUUCGAGGGAAACUCGAGUCCUUCGGCAAUCGUGAUCGCUCGAUCUUUAAGACAUCUGGCAACGAACCUUCCGAGUUUCGAGUCGUGAACCUACCAUCUAUAGAUCGUAGAUAGGCAACGCAAGUGCUUAUCGAAAGAAUUGAAAUUGGCGCGUCUGUAUUUGAGUAAAAGCGAGAAAGAGAGAAAGAGAGAGAGAAGUAAAAUGUUAGACGAAGAAUGAGAGAGAUAUAAUGAUCUGGAAAACGAUAAGGAAAAUAAUUGUCGAUGAUUACGAGUGAAUAAUAUCCUUUUUGUUAAAUACGAUAAAGGAGAGGCAUAUAGAGAAAGUGAUAAAUUGUAUUUUGGAACGAUUUAAUCCACGGGCGGAUCUAGGGAAAGAAUAACAGGAAAUAAAAAAAAAAUAAGAAAAAUAAACAAUGUCCAUGUUGCUAAAUAUAUUAGCGGUGAGUUAGUUUGCAUAUAGCGACGUGUUAGUUUAUAUAUAUAGUCUUUAGUGCGAAAUAAAUUGGAUGCAAUGAGAAAAAAGCACUGUCAUAUGAUAUAUAGAAAUGAGAGAGAGAGAGAAAGCGAGUUGAAGAGAGUGUGAGAGACUAACUGCGAAAGAGAAUACGAACGAAAAGCAUCGCGUGGAAAAUGCGCUAAUUAUUACAUUGGAAAAAUAUCGAGAAAAACAUCAUAUACGAAAUACACGACACACAUACACACCAUAUAUACAUAUAUACAAACACGGACGUAAAAAGGACGUAAGUGGGCAUAUAUAUAAUGAAGCACGAAGAGGAAGAGGAAGACUAUAGCGAGAAACGAGAGAGAAAGAGCGAAAGAGAGAGAGGGAGUAAAUAAUGGGCAAAGAUAAAGGGAGAUGCGGCGAAAACACACGAAGCAUAGUAGACACGUAGAUUAAAGUUAGGACAUAGAAUUUUAGGUGAAGUUAUCGAGCCCGUUCCUUCGUAUUAGAUAUGGUAGUAUUAGACAUGCCAGGCACGCCUCGAAACGAACAUGAACUAUGUGUAUAUACCUAGUGUCUAGGUAGAAAAGAUCCUUUUGUUUUUCGUCGAGCAAGAAGGAGAAAAGAAAGAAGGAAAAAGAAGAGGAUAUAAAGAAAGAAAUCGCUUCCUCGAGCUGUUCGUUCUCCUCAAACCUAUUCCAUGCUGCGUUUCGUUCGCGACUUUUUCCAAAUCGAUCUUUCUCGUCCGCGAGGCGAAAGCGCAUACGAAAGUCGAGUUUUCGGAACAAUAAAAAGAUAAAGGGAAAGGAAUAAUAAAAAGAGAGAGAAGAAAGGAAACGCGUUCGGAAUCCAUAUGGCGAAUCGAUAUCGCGUAGCGUCAAUUCGAAGAAGCAGCAUUGAUUCAACGGUGGAAAGAAAAAUAGCGAAUAUCGAAAUUGAAACGCACAAUGGAAGAAGAAGAAAGAGAAGAGAGAAGUCAACGGAGCGGUGAACGAAAAAAAAGGGGGGAAAAAAUAAGUUCGUGCCAUUGUAAUCGCGCAUAAAUUAUUAUAAAUAUAAAAAGCAGAUAUUGUCGAGUAUACAUACUUCUUCUGUACAUAUAGUUGAACGGCAAACAAAAAUAACGCGUAACGGUUCAGUUGCAAUCAUAUUGAAUAAUAUGGGAAAACAGCGAGCAUGAGUUUGAGUGUUGUGUAUCGUCCUUUCUUUUUUUUUUCUGCGAACGAUGGCGAAUCGAUCGAUUCGAUUGCGAAUUACCAACAACAGAUAUAUAACUGUAAUGUAAUUAUAUUAUGAUGUACGAUGUAACGGUAUGAUACCGACGGUACCGUAAUAUACAUAUUAUAAAUACAAUUUCAUACGAAGGAUCGUUAUUGCGAAGACGAGCGAGGUGAUUUUCUAUUAUUGCUAUGAUUAUUAACAUUAUCAUUAUACAUAUAUAUAUAUAUCUCGUCAUUACGGUUUCUUACGAUGAUCGCUGCGACGAUGACGACAAUGAUUAUAAUUACGAUCAUCAGUUAAACGCGGAUGAGAGAGAACGAGAGAGCAAAAGGGAGAGCAAAAGGGAGAGAGAAAGAGAGAGAAAGAGAGAGAGAGAGAAAGAGUGAGUGUGUGGGCAUGUUAAGAAAAAAUAAUCAAUUCCUCCCAGAGGAAGAUCGUCAAGUGUAUCGUUCGCGUGCUCGUCAGCCGAGUAUCGCAGGGGAGGAACAGAUAUCCGUCGAGCAGCAACGUUUUAAAUCCGUGCGUGCACGGAUCUUUAAUUGUAAGUAGGUGUAGAUUGACGAGCAACAAGGGGUUCCUAACGCAAUUUUAUCCGGACAGUUCGCGAACGUUCAAGGGAGAGUGUACGAGGGGCGAUUUUUUUUUUAGAGAAGAGAAGAGAUUGGUAAAGGAUCGAGAAAAAAAAGGAAAGAGAAAGAGAGAAUGGAAGAGAAUCGCGCUCGUACGCGUCCUGGGAGACGAAUCGCAUCAGGAUGGAUUCCCCCUUUUUUUAUUCCCGCGAGCAAUUGGAGGCAAUCUUGGCGAUCUUUGUUUUGUUUUUUUUUUUUUUUUUUCCUAUGAUUGGUCACUUUUUAUUUAACACGUUUAUCGAAUCGUCGAGAGAAAGGGGAUCGUCACUCGGGACUUCCUCCCCUCCCCCCUUCGAAUUUCGAAUGCCACGUUUCUAGACGUAAAUCACACGAUCAUCCUGUCGUUAUUUAUUGGCAGAACCGAACCAAUGCUCAAGCGAUGCUGUUGGUUUAAAAGAAAAAAAGAAAGGGAGAAAAAAAAAAUGAAUAAAAAAAAAAGCUGAGGAAACCAAGAUCUUUCUUUACCCGUCUGUACCUAUAGGCCUGUAUAACACUAACUUCGUGUAUGUGCAGUGGAGUAUAAAUAAUAAAGAAUACACACUUUUUA